GACUGGAUGGCCGAGCGGUCAAGGCGCCAGGGUAAGGCGGCGGUAAAUCUUAUCGCGUAACGUUUACCACAACAAUCCUGGUCUACGAAAGUGGGCGCGAGUUCGAAUCUCGUUUCAGUCA
rfam:Candida albicans SC5314 chromosome R sequence.